rnacentral:rRNA from 1 species
UACGGAGGGUGCAAGCGUUAUCCGGAUUCACUGGGUUUAAAGGGUGCGUAGGCGGACAGGAAAGUCCGUGGUGAAAUCCUGCAGCUUAACUGCAGAACUGCCGUGGAUACUCUCUGUCUUGAAUAUCGUGGAGGUGAGCGGAAUAUGUCAUGUAGCGGUGAAAUGCAUAGAGAUGACAUAGAACACCGAUUGCGAAGGCAGCUCACUACACGAAGAUUGACGCUGAGGCACGAAAGCGUGGGGAUCAAACAGG